CAAAUGCCUUGCUCCAUCAUAAACAUAAAUUCGGCUUUAGCAAAUUUUAAUUUUUCAGGAGACAGAAGUAAAAAAUAUCGAUUGACCCUCUGUUAAAAUAUGAUGUUCAACUCCAUCGUUACACGGUAGAAACCGCCGUGAAUCUUGUAAGAUUCAGAAAUUCAGCUAAAAGUCUUUGAGCCGUUAGCAGCAAAAAGUUUAAUAGAGGCUGGCGACAACUUUGGGCAAAACUUUCUUGGAAUAAGAGAGAUAUCAGCUCCUGUGUCCACGAAAAAGCGUAAUCCAGAAGACUUGCUAGUAAAAAUGAGGCGAUUAUUAACAAGCCCAUCCAUUCCAUUGUCUGAUAUCUCGACAUCCAACGGCGAAGUUAGUUUUCCUGUUUAUCAGUGAUGGUCAAAGUUUCGGACAUAAAACGAGCUUUUAGAUAUGAAACUUUAUUCAAGGAUUUUGUACAAGAUGACUGCACGAGUUACA